rnacentral:lncRNA from 1 species
AAACCCAUGAAAGAGGAUCCUGAAAGAGCAAGGGCAGCCUCCAGGUGAAGGUGGUGGGCGGCCUCCAGGUGAAGGCGGCCUCCAGGUGAAGGUGGUCAGCACCCUACCUUUGGCCAAGAGGAGACUGCAGUUUCAACUCAAAGAUUAUUCCUGAAUGAUGCAACAAGCUUAAACUUCCUUAAAAACAAACCUCUGGGAAGAGGAAAAUGAGGCAAGAUGCUGAGAAAAAGUCAUCUCCCACUCUGCCCUUCUCUGGCAAAUCGAAGUGUCCUCUUGUGGGAGGCGGUGGGCAGCGACACUCCUGUUGGACGUCAGUGUUCUCGGGCCCGGCCACCCCGGAGCAGAACUCACUUAGGGCCUGGUGCCCCUGUGCCCAGUUCUCAGAACGUCGGAGUGCUCAGUUCUCAGAACGCCGGAGUGCCCCAUUCAUAACCUGCAGCCCCAUUCAUAGCCUGCAGCUCCCCUCCUUCCUCUCCUCCCGGUCUUCAGGGAGCACCCCCAGCUCCCCUCCCCACUCUCAAACCCUCCUCCUCCCUCCCCUCUCUCAGUUCCCUGUUUGCAGGAUCUCCUCCUGCCCACUCUCCAGCCCAGGUCCUCCCCUCUCAUCUCCAAUUCUGCUUCACGGGCCAUGACAGCAGGCAGGCCAUGGCCUGCUCUCAGCAGUUUGAUCGAUGGACUAAGGAGAUCACUCCUACGAGAGUGAAAAAGUCAAAUGUGCCUGAGAUUCAGAUGGGGAGCUCUCAAAGCUACG